GGAGGUGUAGCUCAGUUGGUAGAGCAGCGGACUCUUAAUCCGCGGGUCCGGGGUUCGAGCCCCCGCGCCUCUACCA
rnacentral:tRNA from 1 species